ACAGUUUACACGCAUGCCUGAUUCAAAGCAAUUAAGAACACUGAUGACCUCUGCAGAUAUUACUGAUCACAAGAGAAGCCCAGUCCCUGAAGCUGAAAGCUGCGCUGCUUGGUCUGUAUGACUGACGAUUCAUCAACUGACAGCGAUCCUGAGAGAUUAAGACGCCACGCUGAGUGAGCAGAGCUGAAGCAACACACCAGGAAUGUACAGUGCAAAAUCAAUGGAACAGUUAAGCUUCCUAUAUAUCAGACACAGACAACAGAAAUCAAGACAGGCGGGGGAAAUCCUGGUUAUAUUUUGGUCUUUUGUUAUCCGCAUUGACUCAGCAAAGUGUGUGUGUAUGUGUGUGUGUGUGUUUGCAUGAGAAAGUCUGACAGAGGAAGAGACGAGGGAUUAUGUGUGGAUUACGUGCAGUGUGUGUGAGGAAGUUGUUUGGAGAAUUUGUGGGUAUGUUCUUGUGGUAGUGAAAGCGCAGGAUGGGUGUGUGAGUGAGACUGCAGGUUUAGGAUCUGGGAUUGUGUGUGUGUGCGUGUGUGUGUGUGUGUGUGUGUCCCUGGCAGCUGUUUGCCCUGCCCAGAGUGGUCUUGGCAGUGUUUCUUUACUGUAACUGCUCCCACAUGUUGGCACAGCCUGGCACAGCAAGGGCACACUUCUCAGGUGCCAGGGGUGUGUGUGGUGUGAGUGUGUGUGUGUGUGUGUGUGUAUGUUUGAGAGAGAGAGAAAGAGAAUGAGAGAGCGAGAGAGACUGUUUCCACAUCUGUUUGUGAGUUUAUGAGUGGGAGUUUGUGAGUGUAUCUGGGUAGGUAAAGGUCUGUACAAAGAGUGUGUGUGUGUGUGUGCGUGUGUAUGCACGUGUGUGUGUGUGUGUGUAUUCCAAGGGGUUGAGCGGGCCUCUUCCACACAGUGGUGUCAAGUCAAUGAACUGAUUUACCAAUCAUUUAAUCAACAUUUUACUUUAUUUCAGACAAUGUGACAAAGAUACAAAGACAAAGUGUGUGUUUGUGUGUGUGUGUGUGUGUGUGUGUGUGUGUGUGUGUGUGACCUGACCACAGACAAAUUACUCUCCUCUCUGGAGGGAGUUGCAGAAAAAAAAAAAAAAACAUUGCAAGUGGAAAGCAAAGGAAAAAAGAAGUUUACCACUAACUUUGUCACCAGCCUGAGUGAUUUCUGUCUGUACAUCUAUGUAGCUAUGUGUGUGUGUGUGUCAGAAUGUGUGUUUGCAAACACGUAUAUGUGCAUAGCAGUACAGCCUCGUCUGUGCUAUUCAUGUCACGUUUCUGUUGGCUCAAAGAAAACGUUUCAUCUAUAAUUGUCCCUUCAUCUUCCACGGAGGUGUGUGUUAGAGUGUGUGUGUGUUUUUUUGCACAAUGUGUCUUUUAGUUCUAUAAGUUUGCGUGUCCGUUCAAGUACGCAUGCAUGAGUGUUGCCUACACAUCAGAGGCCUCAGUCAUGGGCUUCGUCUCUCAGCGUGUGUGUGUGUGUGUGUGUGUCGGCGUUUGCGUGCUGAUGGCUCUUCACUCUUUCAUCUCAUCAAGCGUUCAUCACUCCGUCCUUCAUCAAUCACACCAUCCGGCAGAUCACUCAUCAACUGAGCGUCCUGCUUUUAAACGAUAAGAUCUCUCCGUCCACAGACUCUCUCUGUCUGUAACACACACACACAUGCACGCGCACACACACGCACUGUGACGUGGAAUGUGAUCAUAGUGACUUUCGAAGGUAUUCUUGCUAACACAGUGGGAGGCCUCCUGCGUAGCACCUACACAUUAUUCCCCCUCCUCAUAACACACACACACACCCUCCAGCUCACUGUUGGUCGCCGGUGCACACACACACACACACACAAAUGUGUACACACACACAGACACACAGUUUCCAUGGUGACGGAUAGGCAGCCAUGCAGAAUGAGUGCAUAGUCCCUUGGGACAUCUCCUUUGUCCAUCUUUCCAUCGUUCUCUUUUAGUGAUGACAAGAUGUCUCCUCUCUGUCUCUCUCUCCCUUCGGCCUCUGUUCAUUAUGCAUAAUGCAUGUGUUUCAGUUCAUAAGCUAAAUUUCAUCUGGCCCAUCCAGUGGGUUGCAGCACAUGCAGUCUUUGUUCCCAAACUCUUUCCUCCAGAUUUGCCCAAUGUAUUGCCAUAAACUCUGUUUCAACAAUUGCAACUGAGACUUUAAUCCCAACUGAGCUGGCUAGUCCUGUAACCUCGCCGGUGUUGCAAUAAGUGCAGCUUGAAUCCGUUUGAGUGACAGCUCCUCAUUAUGACAGAGUAAGUAUGGUAUGGAUGGAAGGAGGGAGGGAGAGAACAGAUUGGUUGCUCUGUCAGAUUGUGAAAAGAGGCCUCGUCACACUCUGGUUGUGAUUUAUUCUAAAGACGAUACCCUCAUUUCCCGUGAGUCACUGCUGCUCGGCAUGUUGGGGCUUUGCUGGGCAGAAGAAUCGUCGUCAGAACGACACCAACCUGGACAACAGCCACAAGCAUCAAUGUUCCUUUCUGGAAGAGUUUGUUAGAAAAUCAUGCCUGUAGCCUCUACAGUAUAUGUACAACUCACAGACGUGGACAUUUGAUAAAGAGGAUCUGGGGCAGCAUGAUGUGUAACCUCCACCAGAGGCUUCUUUGUGGCCGCAUAUCACAUGACCUCCAUACUAAGAAUGGAAGUCAUUUGACCUUAACCAACUUUCUUAUGAAAGAGAAGAAACCAGUGGUGUCUUUCUUUACUUUUUGAAAGUUUUAAGUUAUUAAACAGCCCAUGGUUGAGUGUCCCAAAUGACUUAGCACCUCUAAUUUUUUUCUCUUUCAGAUGAUUUCUGGCCCAACAGUAGAAUUUGAAUCGUCCUGGAUCAGGGUCCCCCAUGAAUAUAUUGUGAAAUCUGAAUACAAGACUCAAAGACGGUGCCAAAUCAUUCCAGUCAAGGCCACACUGCAAAUGUUAAAAGCUUAACGUUUGUUAGUGCUUGCUGGCUUGCUGGCUGUGAAAUGAAUGUUGAGUUUGGAUGGAUUAUUUUAGCACUGUGGUCUGGCAUUUACAUUGAUUAUCUCGACGCAGGUGUUAAUUUCAAACAGUGUGAUGACGUUUGGAGGGCUGACACAUCUUACUGCCUGGCCUGAGGGAAGCCUGCUUCAUUUGGGUCAGACACCAUCUUGCUGUAACUCGUUGUUUCAUGGUGCCCAACGGGGAUCAACUUUGCCGACAGGGUUCAAAAGGCUGUAAAUGCUUAUUACGAAUGUGGUGAUGAAGUUGGUAGAACAUGAUCUCUAGGCCAAUGUUUUGAUAUUUUCAACAUCUAAUUCUUGGUUUCAUGACUGUUUUGACUGACAUCUCUUAAUAAGUUUUGGGUAUGAACUUUUUUUCCCAGACAAUCUAUCAUGAGUCAUUGUUUAAGUGAAAAAGGCCUUGAAUCAGUUGGUUUUCAUGCAUUUUUUAAAUGGAGGCUGGAAAAUUUAAGUGUUACUUUCAGAAGUGUAAAGUGCUGUGAUUUUUGCCAUUUUAAAGCUACUGUAUGUAAGUUUUUUUCUUUUUAGUUUAUUUUUUUUGUUGUUGUGGAGAGGUGUUGUCAAGGACCUCUGUGACUGAAGCUCACUGCACAACACAGCAGCAGUACAGAGAUAUUCCCUACUCAAGUUUUAAAAUGAGUCUCACCCUUCAAACGAAUCAGAGAUGGCCAAAGUCAGGGGUGCAAGCUCAUGGCUGUUAAUUAAUAUCUAAAUGCUCUUCUGGCCUACUACUCCUCUAGUACUGAGGCUCAAAGCUAGCAUUAGCUGCUGGAAGUUGUCUCUAUGACUUACUCAGAGGCAAGCAAGCUCCUGAUAACUGCAUUAGUCAAAUCACAAGGAUGCAGGUCAUCUCAUGCUAGCGCAACCUUAAUUUCCAGAACUUGCAUAUUGUAGCUUUAAAGUCUAAAUAUUGGGGGGGGUUUCUGGACCUGUUCUUUGCUAAAAACUGCCUGGAUCAAGUGUUGCAAUUUGUAUGGACUCUAAGCUGAUCUACAUCGCUGUUAACAGACAAAUAACCUCAGAAAAAGAGACAGUAAAUGAUACAGUGCAAAAAACUUAUCAGUGCAGUUAUUUCAGUGAUCAUGUAAAAGGAGCAACAUUGUUAUACGUGCAAAUGAAUCAGUGAUGCUGUGAGGAUAAAUUAUUCCCUGCUUCUUUUAUUCUGAGACAUCUGAAGGCAGUGAAGCACCACAUGCAUCCUACACAUUUGUGUUAGCUGACUUGAAUCACACCAGGGUGAUUCUAUAACUCUGAGACAUUUCAUAUCCGUGAGAUAUAUCUCACAUAUAUUUUUAACACCCAAGCAAGUUUGAAAAAAAUGGUACCAUUAUGUAUUGUAUCAGCAGGAUAAAGAUAUCCAGCUGUUCCCUGAUUAGAAACAAUAAGUCAUGAAAUCUUUUCAUCAUAUUCAUUUUGUAAACAUCAGAUAACCAUACAGACAUCUGUUGAUACUGAUUCUUAUUUCUUAUCAUUCAUUCAAUCAUUCGUUACACUUGUCUCAGUUGCUCAUACCUGAACUUGCAGUACACAAUUUAAAGAUUGCAAACUUAAUUAUAAAUCAGCUAAUUGAGCAAAGUUUAAAAUAAAAAAAAAAACUCAGCAUCAUCACUUCCCUACAUUGAAAGCUUGGUAUGUUCUCCGUCUUUUAUCUUAAUAGUGUUUGAGUCUAGAAUAGAUUUUUUGAAGGUCAGCAGUGUUCAUUCAAUUGCUUUUUGGCUGAUGCCGUAUGGUAUUUGAUUGUAUGACUCUAUAUGAGGGACCAGCCCAAAAUCACAAAGAUCAAAUCAGUUCCUAUCAACACGUAUAGCUUGAGGUUGACAAGCAGUAUUUACAGUAUGUCGCAUAAAACUUUGCUUUUUCUGCUCAUUUAGAAAAGCUACAUAUCCUGCAUCUUUAAAAUCUACUACCGGUAACUCAACUGGUUUCCAUCAAGAUCCCCAUUCUGUUUUUGUUGCUCAACCACCCCCUCAAAAAAUGCAACAGUACAAAAUGUUGUAACACCCAUUCAAGAUUGUCAUGUUGAGAUUGGAAUCGGAACGAGGACAGUGAGAGGUAGAGUGCAGUGAAACGGAAAGUUUGUGCAAUGUUGGCUGUAACACGGCGAGAUGAAGUCAGCCCUCCAACGUGGUUCACUGGACUGGACUGGAUUUGUGGAGUAGAACCAGGAGAUAAUGUGAAUGUGACAUAGAAGGUGAAAGGAGAAGAGGAGCAGAGUUAGUCACAAGUAGGUGUAUAGCUGUUGACCUAUCCAAAGCGGAGUCGCGGAGAUCUGAUAGUUGGAUAUGACUAACAUUCCCAUGAGGGAGGAAGGAAGCAUUUGAUAAAGAAGCAGUGCAUGAAACUCAUCUGGGAAUUUUAUCAUGAACACAGGUGCUGUCUGCUUUUGCGCAACAAUAGUUGUGAACAGAUUACAGUACUUCCUGAACUAAUGGUCUUGAGCUCAUUGUUGCACAAAAAAGAUCCAGCAGGAGCCGGUUGAGGCCAUGUGGUCACUAGCCUGAGGUUCGCCCUCCCCACAGGGAAAUGUUGAAAAUCUGAUUACAGAUGGGAGAUGUUUGGAUGUAAUCAGGGGAAAUGUUAAGAAAAUAUCAUCAGGUUUUAGUCUGCGCUGCCCUACCACCCAGUGACUGUUCACCCACACCACAGGAUCCCUAAUAAAUAAGAGUAAAACUCGACACUUCACUUUUAUUGUGCGCGAGUGUGUGUGUAUUUGUGUGUGUGUGCGCGUGUGUGUGACCUCCCCCCGUCCUUUGGCACGUGGAACAUUUUGCUCUGCUGUUUUUACAAGCCGGGCGUUAAGCUGUCCAUCAAAUGCCAGGAAAAUACCCCGGAUCCCUUUCCCCCUAUCACACACACAUGCACAGAUACACACACAUCGAUUCCCCAGAAACCACAGUCGCAGUAGCGGUAGCCGCUCCUCUGCCAAGCUCUUAAACACGCUGAAACCAACCUCUCCGCUCUUUACGGCCUCUCUCGUACAUGAGCCUUCUCUUUUUACAUCUCUCCCUCUCUCAUCCGUCCUUCCUUUCACCUAUCAUUCAUCGCUCUCUAUAUCGCUCCCUAAAUAUCCUUUCUGCUUAGAUACAGGCCACGUUAUAAGACCGGCACUCUGCUGACUAGAUGGACCGUGAUACAGCCAGCCUCGUCUGGCCUCACCACCUUAGAUUGGCUUGUUGGGAGAUAUGCUUGUAAAUGUAAAAUACAGCUUGACAUGGUGCUCGGCUCUCUAUUACUUCUGCUUUUUACAACCAAAAAAGUGGGUGCAAAGGUUGUGUGUGUAUUUGACUGUGUGUGUUUCUGUUUAUUACAAGUAAGCCAAUAUAUCAAACUGAAAUUAUCUUUAUUUAAUAUUAAAUAUUAUACAUCAUGAAGCCUGUUUUGCUGUAAAUUAAUCCUCAUGUGAGGGCUGUAUUGCAUCCCAGAUUAACUGCUACAAAGCCAUUUUGGUUAUGGUGUUGUAAAGAAGUUUCAUCUGUCUGGGUGUUUAGUUUCUGUGUCCCAUGAUGACCAACAGUAAAUAGUUUUAGAGGUUUUUCCACCCUGAAAACAAUUAAUCUGGGGAAACACUGAAUAUUCCGUUUUUUUAUAUUUAAGAUUGUGCAUUUUUGCCUUUAAUUGAUCGUGUAUAGUCAAGAGAAUGACAGGAAAUGUUACUUGAACCAGUUUACAUGGUACAUGUCUACCUAGACCACCGUGGACCGAGAAUACUCAUACUUUUUUUUUUUACCAAUUUUUAUGAUAGACUGUGUACCAGAAUGGUUCUUGAGGAAUUUAUGCAUGUCAUUGUUCUAUUUUGGCAUUUUAAUAUGUAGGACAUUCACAAUAUGUAGGAUGCUGCUAAUUUGAUUUAGACAAAACCUUAGGAAGGAAUGCAUGUCAUUUCUAAUUUUUUAGAGCUAUCACUGUUUCAAAAAAUCAAGUUGGAAUGAAUUAGAACUAACACACAAUUUAUUUGGAUUAAUUCAAACGCAACCCAAGUUGUAGAAUUUACAUUGAACAGUUUAUUAGCAGCGCCUCCGCUGCUUCACUCGAGUGACAAGAUAACCUAAAAUCAGCUAACAGCCUUACUUUUAUCUGUGAUUUUCUGGGGAUCUGGGUUUACAGUGGUACAUCCAAACUGUUUCCACACAUUACUUUUCAGUGUCAUUAUUAUCCGUUUAGCACAGCUUGCCAGUUUUCUUCAUUUUGCGUUAGCCAUUUUGGGUUAGUAAAGAAACCAUAGUUUAGUUCAUAGAGCAACAGGCCUUAUUGUGAAUUUUGAAUUCAAACAGGUCAAUCCUGAGCAAAUACUUUAUUUCUUUUUCACUUUUCGAAUAGAAAGUGACAGCCUGGCUCAAUUCAGACAUUCUCCAAAAAAUCACGUUUGUAGCCCUGAGAGUCGCAAUCAAGAAACAUAAAAGUGUGUUUUUCUCUUACACUACAACUUUGCAUCUGUCAGUGAAUGACAAUUUAAUAGCUAAUUUCUUAAUCAGGGAAACUGUAUGCUUUACAGAUGCUGUAUAUAUUGGCCAUCAGCAGUUUCACAACAAAAAUCAGUAUUGGUCUUAGCCAUCCAAAACUCUGUUAAAACCCUGAUAUAUCUAUGCAUCUGUGAGCAUGGGAGAGAGCAUACCUAGGGAGAAAGCACUACAGAGAACCAUUUGACAAAUAAAGGGUUGGAGACAAAGGGGAAAGCUAAAAAGAGGAAAAGCAUCACAGGGGCCAUGAUAGAGAGAAAAACAUCAAUACUGUGCACAUUUAGAGGAAAUGAGUGAAGAAGAGAGAGAAAGACAGAGCCAUGGGAGAGAGGCGGGGAGCUCCACUGAGAGAGAGAAGGAGGCUUGAGAAUCAAGAGGGGAAGUCUAAAUGAGAUUAUCUGAAAGAAGUCGAAGACAAUGAAAGUAGGAUUCAGGGAAAUAGACAAAGGGAAGAGUGGAAGGCUUUCUACAAAAUGAGCAGGAGAAAAAAAUCCAGCCUCAUCAGUGAGGUGUAUUCUGCUCAAAGAGAUCUUCAGUUUUGCUUUCAGGAUGGACAUGAAGACUCCAUUAAUGUGUGAACAUAAUUGACAUCAUCAUCUCACCUGUGUGUGCACAGAAGGUAUCCAAGGUGAGAGGCUGAAAGACAUAUACAGAGAAAGGAAAGAAAGGCUGAUAUUCUACAUUUUUCUUAUUGUCAGCAGAUCAACAAUGCGUUAGUCCAACUCCCAAUACUUUCCAACUUCACUAUGCUGGUGCUGUGCUUUUCAUAGCUUUUGGACAACUAUGGAGUUUCAUAACACAGAUGAGCAAGCUGUAUCAGGAUCCACAGGCAAUACUUGUUAUCAAUUCUUUGUUGGUUAUGGCCUUCUGUAGGAUUUGUUGACAAUAAGAAAAAUAUAAAUAUCACCAGCCAUGUCCUCUAAACACCAGCAUGUGUAAGCUCAUGAGGAGCAAAGGCAGAGUUGACUGUAUAUACUGUGACUUCCAACAUGAGCACUUUGGGACCCACAGAACAAUCCUAUAUAAGGAUUUUAAUCCCUGGGUGACUGAGGAUCGUAGGAAUGUAACGCACAGGUCUCAGGUCAGAGCUUACAAGUCUACCUCAUUACUGGAUCAGGGCCAGUUUUAUUGCAAAAGGUCUCAGGUCAUGUCGAUUCAUCCCAUCAGGGCCAAGCAGCAGCUACCACGGCUUGAGGCAGAAGUGCAAUACCACCAACAGACGCCAGAUGCUGGUUCCAGAAAAUCCCUGGCUCCAACUGACUCCUAUUCAAAAAGCAUCAAUUUCUCAAAGUCAGGGGUGUCCAAACUUUUUUUUAAAGAGGAUCUGAUAAUGUGAAGAUUCCCAGGGGCCAGUGGUCCCUUCUGACAUUCUUUAAACAGUAAAAGUUACAUACAAGUGCACUGUU